CCUACGGGAGGCUGCAGUGAGGAAUAUUGGUCAAUGGACGCAAGUCUGAACCAGCCAUGCCGCGUGCAGGAAGACGGCGCUAUGAGUUGUAAACUGCUUUUGUACGAGGGUAAACGCAGAUACGCGUAUCUGUCUGAAAGUAGCGUACGAAUAAGGAACGGCUAACUCCGUGCCAGCAGCCGCGGUAAUACGGAGGAUUCAAGCGUUAUCCGGAUUUAUUGGGUUUAAAGGGUGCGUAGGCGGUCGGAUAAGUUAGAGGUGAAAUCCCGCGGCUCAACUUCGGAAUUGCCUCUGAUACUGUUCGGCUAGAGCUUAGUUGCGGUAGGCGGAAUGUAUGGUGUAGCGGUGCAAUGCUU
rnacentral:rRNA from 1 species